rnacentral:rRNA from 1 species
CAUAGCGACUAUCGUGGCAUAUCAAUAAGCGGAGGAAAAGAAACUAACAAGGAUUCCCUUAGUAACGGCGAGUGAAGCGGGAAGAGCUCAAAUUUGAAAUCUUAAAGGGUUUCCCUUUACGAAUUGUAGUUUAAAGAAGCGUUUUCUGUUGGAGUUUCGGUAAAAGUUCUUUGGAAUAGGACAUCAUAGAGGGUGAGAAUCCCGUAUUUGACCGUUAUUUUCAGCUGUGUGAUACACUUUCAAAGAGUCGGAUUGUUUGGGAAUGCAGUCCAAAAUGGGUGGUAAAUUUCAUCUAAAGCUAAAUAUUGGCGAGAGACCGAUAGCGAACAAGUACCGUGAGGGAAAGAUGAAAAGAACUUUGAAAAGAGAGUUAAACAGUACGUGAAAUUGUCAAAAGGGAAGCGUUUGACACCAGUGUUGUUUUCUCGAAAAUCAAUUAAAAAUGAUGGGAUUUUGUGUUGUAUUGACUUUAUCAGCUUUCUGCACUUUUUUCUUAUCUUUUUUAAUGCACUUUUCGUUAACAAGUCACAUCAAUUUCUUUUGUUGUAAAAGGGUACGAGGAAGGUGGCUUUCUUUUCGGAGAAAGUGUUUAUAGCCUUUGACUCCUGCAAUCGGAGAGACUGAGGUCUGCAGCGUAGAUCCUUCUGGAUUAGAUUCAUUUGUGCUAAGUUAUAGCUUUUCAUAGACAACUUGUUGACUAUGUUUAGUCUUGUAGCUUACUCGCAUGCGCUAUUUUACCUACGCUUAGGAUGUUGAUAGUCACAGCGUGUAC